ensembl:misc_RNA Metazoa_SRP Metazoan signal recognition particle RNA
GCUGGACGUGGUGGUGCGUGCCUGUGGUCCUAGCUACUUGGGAGGCUGAGGCGGGAGGAUUGCUUGAGCCCAGGAGGUUGAGGCUGCAGUGAGCUGAGAUCACACCACUGCACUCCAGCCUGGGCAACAGAGCAAGACCCUGUCUUUA